rnacentral:rRNA from 1 species
AUGAGCACCCUAAAAGGUUUUGGUGAGGCCACGGGUCUGCGGAUCAGCACGGCAAAAUCAACAACCACGCCGAUUAGCUGCGAUGAUAUCGAUCUGGCUACGGUUCUUCAGUCUUUUGGCGGGCAAAUAGCUCAGUUCCCGAUCAGAUACUUGGGGCUCCCCCUCAUCGUCGGUCAGAUUCGUCUGGUCCAUCUUCAGUUCAUCUUGGACCGCAUUAGGGCAAGACUUGCCGGCUGGAAAGGACGGAUGCUCACUAUUGUUGGUCGUCGUGUCUUGGUCCAGUGUGUUCUCACUGCCCUGCCAACCUUUGCCCUAACGGCCCUCAAAUUUCCAACAAAGCUGCUAAAGGAGAUUGACAAAAUCAGGCAUCAUUUCCUUUGGGGAAGAGAUCAAGAGCUCUCUGGGGGAAGCUGUAAGGUAAAUUGGCACCGAGUCUGCUCCCCGAUCGAGCUAGGAGGGCUCGGAGUUCUGAACCUGGCUCAAAAUCUUUGCUUGGCUUCUUCACCAAGAUCGGUUAUGGUGCAAUGA